CACUCUUAAAUCCUACUACUUAUUCCUGCGUCUUUUGGGAUCUUACAAAGCUUCAAACGAGUCGUCGACGUAUUUUGAUUUUCGACGUAAUUGUGACUAGUCGACUAAUCGUGGCAGCCCUAGUGUCAGAUGAUGACCCUCUUACUAUCAGCUCACCUUCAGUUUUUCAAAGUUUUUAUCCAUUGUUUUUAUAUAAAAUCUAUGAGGUUCAAAUGAAGCACCAAACUACAGUUAUUCAGUCAGUGGAGGUUCAGUAGUGCAGUUUCUCACCACUGUUGUUAACUGGAGGCUGACACACUGACUGAAGACAUUUAGUUUGAGUGGAUUUGAGCUUUCCAUCUCAGCUUCUUUUGGUCAAGGAUGAAAUACAUAUAAAUAUAUUUUUUGUUCCAGCUGAUCAUCAGGAGGAGACGAGCCAUUUAGACUCAGCUCAGCCACUACAGAGGAAACAAUGACUUCAACCCAAAAGGACCAACAUGGAGCGAGAAGUCAGCGCUCUCAGGAGGCCGACAAACCUCACGGAAGAAAGAGAGAGAAAACAUACAGCUGUGAUGAGUGUGGGAAGGAUUUUGCCUGUUCUAAACACUUGAAAACACACCAACUCAUCCACAGUGAAGUUAAAGUGUACAACUGUGACGAGUGUGGAAGAUCUUUUACUGAUCCUAGAAACUUAAAAACACACCAACUCAUCCACAGUGAAGUUAAAGUGUACAACUGUGACGAGUGUGGAAGAUCUUUUACUGAUCCUGGAAACUUAAAAAGACACCAACUCAUCCACAGUGAAGUUAAAGCAUGCAACUGUGACUUGUGUGGAAAAUCUUUUGCCCACACUGGAAGCUUAAAAACACACCAACUCAUCCACAGUGGAGUUAAAGCAUACACCUGUGACUUGUGCGGGAAAUCUUUUGCCCAACCUCGAAACUUAAAAGCACACCAGUUUGUCCACAGUGGAGUUAAACCGUACACCUGUGAUCAGUGUGGUAAAACUUUUGCUCGCAGUAGCCAGUUACAGUGUCAUCAGGUUACCCACUCUGGAAUUAAGGCAUACAGCUGUGACAUUUGUGGAAAAACUUUCAGUCGUGUAGAGACCCGAAAUAAACACCUCCGCAUUCACACUGGACAUGACGUUUGGUGCUGUGAUCAGUGUGGCAAACUGUUUACAACACAUGCACGGUUACAAAACCACAAGUUUACCCACACUGAGGAGAGACCUUAUAAAUGUGACCUGUGUGAGAAGACUUUUAAAGCUCCACAUUACCUGAAAGAACACCAACAGAUCCACACCAGGAAGAAACUCUGCAAGUGCAGUCACUGUGAGGUAUAAGCAGAGCGGCACAGAUGGAUCCAGUUCUCAACCCUGUCGUCACUGUGGUGGUGGGAAAGACUUUCGAUGUGACCUUUGUGGAAAAACUUUCACUCAGCAACGAAACCUAAAAAUACAUCAACGUAGACACACUGGAGACAAAAUGAGCUACUGCAAAGAAUGUGGGAAAGGCUUCCCCACGUUAGGUGAUUUAAAAAAACACGAACUCUUCCACAGUGGGGUUAAAAAGCAUGUCUGUGACCAGUGUGGGUCAUCCUUCACCACUGCAGGUGAGCUUAAAUGUCAUAAACGAGUCCACACAGGAGAGAAACCAUACAAGUGCAGACACUGUGACAGAAGCUUUUCACAUCCAGGGUCUCGUAACAAACAUGAAAAUAGACACAUUGAAGAGAACUUCAUCUGUGACCAGUGUGACAAGAGUUUUAGGAAUCUCACUACAUACUCCGAUCACAAACGAUCCCACGUUUCAAAUAAACUCUUUCACUGUUACCAAUGUGCAAAAACGUUCACUUCAUCAUCUGCUCUGUGCAAACAUCAGCGUCAUCAUGAAAUCACUCCCAUCUCUGGAUCACAAUGAAUCUGAAGAUCCUCUUCUGGUUUCUGGGUCAGACUUAAAAUCAGAUCAGGCUCCACAGAGUUCAGCUGGAAUCUGCUGCAAAAAGUGUCAGCUGAUGUCAGACUUGGAUCUGAUGAUGUAGCUUUGAUUUCUGGACCUGCAGGGAGUAAUCCUGAAUGUUUAAUUUGGGAAGGUGUAAGUAAAGAUAUGCACAUCAAUUUUCUUUCUUUUAAUUUUGCAUAAAUAAGAUAAGAUAACCGUUAUUUGUCCCACGUGUGGGAAAUUUUAUUACUUUAUUUUAUUUAUCCCUCUUACAUUCAAAUAAUUUUCCUUCAGGAAACAAUAGUGUUUAGCAGUAGUGCUUGUAAUAUAAAUCUAUAGAAAUAUAUUUUACAUCCAGUUACUAUUACAGCAAAAGUUCAAACUUCAUGUUUAAAGAAGAACACUGCAAUAAUCUAAUAAGUUCAAUAUUUUUCUAGUUUUAUAUUUUCAUUGUUUUUGAAGUCUUUAUUUCUAUUUUACUGUUUAAAAUUCUGUUUGAAUCUGAAUUGGCUUUGGCUGCAUUUCAAUGCAAUAAUUUAUAAAGAAAUUUAUACCACAAGGUGGAGCAGUGAGUCUAUUUAUGCUUCAUUUAAUCAAGCAAAGAACACAUUCAUAUAUACAGUGUUGGCCUGCAGAGGGUAAAGUAUUUUUAGAAAAUUUGGAUAAAGCAUCAAAGAACUGUUAGAGAUUAAAGUUCUCAGAGGACUCUGUUGUUGUUUGUCAGCUCAGGGCUUAUUUCUAAUUGGUUCUUUAAUUGUUUAGUGUGAGGGACAUGAGUGAUGUCUCUGUCAGCAAAAAAACUGCAAAACUGACAGUGAUAAAGAUGCUAAAGAAAACCUUUAAAACAUUUUUUCAGUAGUCAAAUGAAUAAAUCAGUUUCUAUAUUCUUAUUGUGCAGUGUGGAGGGUUUUUUUUUUCUUCUUUUUGUUUUUUCUUGAAGGAUAAAGUGUCAUGGUCCUGAGUCUGAGGACUCAGUGUUUUGUGUUUCCUUAUGCUUUUGUUCAUUCCGAGUGUGUAUUCUGUUGUGAUUUUGCUAUUUUUUAGGUUUCUGUUC